CCGAGUUAUACAACUCAUCAACCCUGUGAACAUACCUAUAACGUUGCCUCGGCGGGAACAGACGGCCCCGUAACACGGGCCGCCCCCGCCAGAGGACCCCCUAACUCUGUUUCUAUAAUGUUUCUUCUGAGUAAACAAGCAAAAU
rnacentral:misc_RNA from 1 species